rnacentral:rRNA from 1 species
UUAGAUAAUUUUACUUAAUUUGUUUUUUAUAUUUUAUUGAAAUAAGAAUAUUAGUUUUUAUUAUUAGAUGGGAAAAAAUUUUUUUUGUGAUAGUUUAAUAGUAUUUUGAAAGAAAAUUUUUAUAAAUAAAAAGAAGAUUUUGUUUUUUGUACCUUGUGUCUCAGGGUUGAUUAAAUUUUUAUAAAUAUUUAUUUGUCCCGAAUUCAAGAGAGCUAUUGCUGAAUUAUUUUAUUGUUUCACAAAUAUUUAAGAUCCAGUGAUUGAAAUGAAACGUUAUUCGUUCUUGAAUAUAUCUGGUUUUUUCAGAAAAAAAUUUAACUUUCUUUGUGAUUAAUAUUUCUUUAUUUUUAGUUUAUUUAGUUACAAUGUUAUACAUUUAGGGAUGAGCUUUAAUGUAAAUUUUUAUAAUUUGAAGAGUUUUCUGGAUAAUAAGGAUUAGUAUUUUCUUUAUUAAGGUAAUUUUAUAAUUUUUCCAGCUGAGUAUUUUAUUUUUAUUAUUUUUAAUUUUUUAUGAAAAUGAGAAAUUGAAUAGAAAUUUUUUUGUAAAAAUGGUUUAAUUAGUAUAUUUUACUGUAAGUUUAUUUUUUAUAAAAAGGUUUAAAAAAGGAAUUCGGCAAAUAAUUUUUCUACCUGUUUAUUAAAAACAUGUCCUAUUGAUUUUUAUUUUAGGUCUAACCUGCCCGUUGAUAGUUUAAAUGGCCGCGGUAUUCUGACCGUGCAAAGGUAGCAUAAUAAUUAGUUUUUUAAUUGAGAGCUGGAAUGAAUGGUUGAAUAAGAAAAGGACUGUCUCUAUUAAAUUUUAUAGAAUUUUAUUUUUAAGUGAGAAAGCUUAAAUUUAAUUAAAAGACGAGAAGACCCUAUAGAGUUUUAUAAAAUAAAAUUUUAUUUUUUUUGGAAUUUACUAUUUUAAUAUUUUUAUUUUAUUUGGUUGGGGUGAUUAAAAAAUUGAUAAAACUUUUUUUUGUUUUUUACAUUUAUUUAUGAAUAAUUGAUCCAAAUUUUUUGAUUAAAAGAUAAAAUUACCUUAGGGAUAACAGCGUAAUUUUUCUUGAGAGUUCAAAUCGAAAGAAAAGUUUGCGACCUCGAUGUUGGAUUAAAAUUAAAUUUUGGUGCAGAAGCUUAAAGAUUAGGUCUGUUCGACCUUUAAAAUUUUACAUGAUCUGAGUUUAAACCGGCGUGAGCCAGGUUGGUUUCUAUCUUUAGUAUUUUUAGCUUUUUAGUACGAGAGGACCAAAAGCUAGAUAAGUUAUUUAUUUAUUGGAGUAAUUU